rnacentral:rRNA from 1 species
UACAGAGGUCCCAAGCGUUGUUCGGAUUCACUGGGCGUAAAGGGUGCGUAGGUGGUGAGGUAAGUCGGAUGUGAAAUCUCGGAGCUUAACUCCGAAACUGCAUUCGAUACUGCCGUGCUUGAGGACUGGAGAGGAGACUGGAAUUUACGGUGUAGCGGUGAAAUGCGUAGAGAUCGGGAGGAACAUCAGUGGCGAAGGCGGCCAUCUGGGACAACACUGACGCUGAGGCACGAAAGCGUGGGGAGCAAACAGG